rnacentral:rRNA from 1 species
UACGUAGGGGGCAAGCGUUGUCCGGAUUUAUUGGGCGUAAAGAGCGUGUAGGCGGUUUGGUAGGUCCGCUGUGAAAACUCGAGGCUCAACCUCGAGACGCCGGUGGAAACCAUCAGACUAGAGUCCGGAAGAGGAGAGUGGAAUUCCUGGUGUAGCGGUGAAAUGCGCAGAUAUCAGGAGGAACACCAAUGGCGAAGGCAGCUCGCUGGGACGGUAUUGACGCUGAGACGCGAAAGCGUGGGGAGCAAACAGG